rnacentral:rRNA from 1 species
UACGUAGGGGGCAAGCGUUGUCCGGAUUUAUUGGGCGUAAAGAGCGUGUAGGCGGCCAGGUAGGUCAGCUGUGAAAACUCGAGGGCUCAACCUCGAGACGUCGGUUGAAACCACCUGGCUAGAGUCCGGAAGAGGAGAGUGGAAUUCCUGGUGUAGCGGUGAAAUGCGCAGAUAUCAGGAAGAACACCCGUGGCGAAGGCGGCUCUCUGGGACGGUACUGACGCUGAGACGCGAAAGCGUGGGGGAGCGAACAGG